rnacentral:lncRNA from 1 species
CUCUUACAUUAAAGACAUAACAGUGAAAAAGGAUUGUACUGUAUUUAUCACCACAGACCCGUAUUCUUUAGAAACUUUGGAAAAUAAAUGUCACAGUCCUAUAGGACAGCUCUUAUGAUUAGACUGUCAGCAUGUUGUCUUUUUUCGGAGCACGCCGGCAUCAUUCUGAAAUAAACUUUAGUGACAACGUCAAAAUGUUCAAGGCUUUAAAACCACAACGUGUUUUGUGUUGCUUUCACUCUUGUAGAAUGUUCACAGCUAGUUUGAGCCCAUCAAUUUCAUAGAGAAUCAUGUGUUAAAAAUAAGUAAAUUGAAUGACCAAAUAAAUUAAAAAUGUUUUAAAGCCCUGAGUUCAUAGACUGGUUUUAGGAGAUUUUUAGGAAACACGGGACUCUAUUUCAGUAAGCAGCUUAUAAGAUUUUGGCAAACCAUAUUUCCUACGACAAUGGGGGUCUCAUACA